ensembl:lncRNA
UUCGGCAUGCUCCCGAAUCCGAUGCGUGUGGGGUAGUUGAGGCAGUUUUUUCCCCCCUGCUGCCUUUAAAACGCAGGUCUUCCUUUAUUUAAAAAGUCCUGAUACGACAAGGCAUCACGGAGGAUCCUCAUGGACGCAGGACGCGCACCAGUCUCAGUCCUUCUGGUCCGGAGACAAGGUCGCCGCGGGCCCCCAGGAAGAGUUUUAACUUUUGCAUUACUCUCCCGUCCUGACGUCACGACCCUGAGGAACAGUUUAGUCCGCAGAAGAGGUAACAGGUUUCGGAUUUUGUUUCCCUUUUCAAUGGCAACAUCUGGAAUUAAUGCCGUGGUCCUCCGGCGGGAUCGCCUCGGGUUUCUUUAGCUGUGAUUCUCUUUGCUUUUUCCUUCUUUCUUUUCCUCGUUCUAAUUUUCUCUCUCCUUUUUUAUUCUCCACCUUUCUCCCUCUCCUUCAGGGUAAAGAAAAUUCGUUUAAUUCAUGAGAAAAAUGAGUUUUCCCGUCGUUCUCCCUCCACUCCCGACCAAGCGUUUUCGCGUUGCUCUUUCGAACUUCCAGGGCCACCAGGCUCUAGCCCGCUCCGUCUGAGGCGCGGCCGUACUGGGCAUGCAGACUCGGCCGGAGGCCUGGGGAUGUAGCCCCUUCCACCUGGCAGGUCUGCUGCUGCCAGCCCAGCCGGCUCUGCUGCUAGAGGCUGGGGAUUGGGGUAGGAAGGCGCAAAGAAUCGGGGCUCCACCGCGCACCGCGGAACCUCGUGCAGAUUCCCCCAGGAAGCCAACCUGAACACCUUGGCUGGGGGCGGGGGGCGGGGGUUGGGAGGCCUGGCUGGUAGGCGGAAGAGCCGCACAGGGUGCUUCCAGAAAGUUGACCCGGCCCGCGCGGGACGAGCUCGACCUUAACAGCCUGCGAUGGUGAUAGAGACUUGGCUGAUCGCUCCGAUUAAAUUUCACUCGCCGGAGCCUGAGAAUGUUUGGGAGAAAGGGGUCAGCUCCUGUUGGGUCGCCCGCAUGGAGUUCGGGUAAGGGAGUGAGUCUGGAAUAAUAGUCCCGCAGGAGCAUAGGACCCAGACACCACCUUCCAACACCUUGAGGUUAUGAGGUCAAAGAAAUCUAUGCGUUAAUUGCACCCUGGCAGGGGAGUGGGUGGGGAAGAGAGGACAGGCUCUGCUAGGGCCCAGGCGCCUCCCCCCAGAGCUGCCUUGCACUAAGUUUUCAGAGACACUUUUAAACCCCAAACGAAAUGAACAAUAGAAAUCUGCCUAGCUUCCGGGGUGGAGGUGGGGUGUUGCCCCAAACGCCCCUCCUCACUCUUGAGGCCCGGCCACUGUGAGAUUCCCCCACUGUGGUCCCAGUGAUCCUGCGGCAACCUAGAGUCCAGCCUCCUGUUUUCCCACUGAUGUACAAGGAACCUCAUUUUCUUAGGCUGUGGAGAGGGCACAUCCUGGAACCCAGCCCAACGAGGUUGCCUUGUGUUCACAGCCGAACAGGCCUGGGACCCCACACCUUUCUUUUUAUGUACCCAAAGUCCUGAUGAUAAGUCCCCCAGGCUCAUGUGAACGAAUGUGUCAUGGACAGAUGCGGGAGGAACUCUCGGGGUCGCUGCACUCACAGCGCCACAGGCCACUCCCGGCUGGUCCUGAUUUGGACUUCUUUUCCGGAGGGAAGCAGACUAGAAGGGGUGGCCGAACUGAGCCGCCAGAGGUGGGGAAACCAUGCCUAGUUUGAGGGGCUAUACCCCUAAACACACCUAGAGGGUAGUUUCACACAGCUGGACACACAAUCUGCACCUGUGACCUCAUUCUACACAGCCUGGGACACACCCUCGCACCUUCAUGCAGUAUCCGCCCACAAUAUGCAAGUCUGAUGCUGCCCUUCCACUCCAGAGGGCCGCUUUGGGAAGUGUGAUGGGCUUCAUAGCAUUCUCACAAGCAUGUCCUCAUUCUGAGACCUCCACUCCGCACGUGACCUCUCACCCAGAUGUCCAGACUCCCACCUCCGCGACUGAAUGAACACCCAGACUGCAGCAUAUGUUCCCGUCCCGGGGCCCUCACUGGCGCAUGGACUUAACCCCACUCCAGGGCCCCCGGGUUGCUGGACCCUGGGCAGAGAAAACCAGACCUUGCGGACAAAUGAGGUGGCUGAGGGCAGGUUGUCUUCACACAAUCACACACAUACACACUCACUCACACAGGGCCUCUUAGCUCAAACUCAUUUGGGGACGCCUUUGCUGUGCCAGAGGAUGAGGGCCCCAGGCGAGCGCUCAGCGCUGCAAAAAUCCACUCCCCUUCACCUUCCCCGGUGCAGGUAGUGGUGGGGCACGAAAGGACGGCCCUGGUGGAGACCCUGGGUGAGGCCGGGCUUGGGGGCUGAGGAGCAGAGGGGGCUGGAGGCGCGGCGCCAAGGCGCUGAGUGGGAACAAGGCCGGGGGCUCUGAUGGGGGACCCGGGAGGCGUUGACUUUUGCGCUGUUUGCCCGCGGCCUCGGAGCAAGCAGACGCCAUCUGUUUGCCGGCUGCGGCGCGUCCCGUUUAAUUACCCUCCCGGCAGCCUAAUAGAGAUGAUAUUAAACUAAAUCUUUCUGACAUUAAAAGUAAUUAUCCCCAAACCAGUGGCUCCGGGACGGAAUCACCCCCUCCCUCGUCCCUACUCCUCCCAUGGCCGAGCCAGAUUCCGUCAGUUUGGCUGAAACUCCUUACCGCCAAGGGGGCGCGGAGAAAAGGGGUGCGGUGCCUUUGGGAGAAGGAGUCUACACGGGCCGCCUCAAGCAUGCUGUUUCCCGCACAACUACAGACUUUCUUGUACGCACGAACACGCGCGUGGAUACACACUCUUGUACACAUACAGACCCACAACGACAACAUUUUCCUCCGAUCUAUCAACUCCACGUUAAUUAAGACUCUCAGCCGCGUGCACCCCAAGAUGGGCAGGGAGAAGCGCAGCGGGCUUUGCAGUCCCUGUCCCUAGCCUACUAAAAUGGCUUUGGCAGUGUCAAGGCCACGGAUUUGGCCUAGGUUAGGACAAGCGCUAUUCUGCGAGGGGCCCUGCGCCUCGCGCUUCCUUAAAGUGUCUUAAGUCAUGCCACCCUCCGCCUUUGUGAGGCCAGUCCUAUGAUCCCACUUGACAGGUGAGAAAACAGACUCACAUCUUAUUAACUAGUACGGACCGAGCAGAAUUCGAACCCAGGAGUACCUGGGAGGUCCCUACCCAAGGCUCAGAUUCUGCCCGGUUCCAGGCGCGGGGUUGGGCUGGGCGCGGCGGACUGAUGUUUGGCCUGAGGCCGGUCGCGGAACCUUUACCCUCGCGUGGGCAGGACCAGGCUCCUCCUGGGCUCUCGGACACCCCCGCCCCCUCCCACGGGAGGAGUGGGCUGGGGAGCCUGCAGAAGGCGGGGGGAGCGAAGGCAUCCACUCGCAGAGCGGGGCAGGAUCACCAGCGCAGAGCCCCAGCGGUAGCUCCUUCGGAUCAAGCCCCAGCAUCUGUAGGGCUCGCGCAGGGGAGGCGGCCGCUCGGCGUCGCGAAGCUUCCCAUCUCCAUGUCCUUCUGUUUGGGCGCAUCUGAGGCUCGGACAAACGCGCAGAGAGUGCUGUUCAUCGCCCAACUACUUACUUCUAUUUUUGAGUGCCUACUGUGUUCCACUACUCUGCUAAACGCUUGGUCAUUGCGUCUUGCUCGGUACGCAGUCCUCGGGGGAGGUGUGAAGUCCCUCGUUUCAGGAUGAGUUCGCCGAGGUUCUGAGGUUCAGCGUGGCGACCUAACGUGCGCGGGGUUACAGUGCGGCUGGGCCUCCAGGAAGAUGGGAAUCCAGAUCCGACUCCCACUCCCAGGCAUUUUGCUUCUCUUCUUCGGCUCUGGGCGUUUAGGAUCAGACUCGGGAGCUUUUAGUCGGCCCCAUUCCGUUCAACUCUCUGAUUACUCACGGAAACAUGAAUAGUGGUCAUUCAUUCCUUCAUUUCAUUAAUAUUGAGCACCUAGCAUGUGCCUGGCCCUGAGGACUGAUGAUCAAUCGACUGUGAUGGGCUCUUAAAGAACUCGUUGGCCAACUGUGAACACAGUCACCCACGAAUGAUCUCACAGUGGGAACAGGGCUGAGGCAGGAGUGGGGAAAGAAGGGUCAAGAGAAACUUCCUGAAGAAAGGGACCCCCGGAGCAAGACCUCAGGUUUCCCAAAUGGGAGCAAUAUUAUAGCCUGUUCCGAUAAAGUAAAACAUAAAACAUUUUAGACACUUCAGCAAAGUACAUCUGGAAAAUAUAUUUUUCUGUGUGCCUAUGUUUACAAAAAUGCACUUUUUGUUACUUUUUAAAUUACAAAUAUGAUAAGCACUGUUCAGAUUAAUUGAUAUAUCUAUAUAACCUUUUAAAAAGAUUGCUUAAUAUUUCAUUGUAUGAAUGUACCUUGACUAAUUUAGCCAAUUCUCUAUUAACAGGCAUUUAAGUUUGUUUUCAGUUUUUGCUAUAAUAAAAAAUUGCUACAAUGAAGAUCUUCAGUGAAUUUGCUUAAUUACUUUCAUAAGAUAAAUUCCUGGAAAUAAGAUUGAUUAAUCAGGGUCAGAGGCUUUUUAAAAAUAUAUAUAUAAGAUUUUGAUACCUCUGCUACCAUGUCAGCCCUUAGGAGAAGUUGUAUAUCAAUGAACACACUCAACAGUAAUGCCUCCUGCUGAUCUUUUUCAUCUUUGCCAGUUCGGGCAGGAAAAAUGUAUCUUAUUGUCACUGUAAUUUGUAGUUACUCCUUAGUUUUGCCUAUAUGUGUUGGUCACUCAUUUUUUUAAAUCUAUGUAUAUAUCUUUCUUAUUUUUCUAUCAUAGAGCUUCUGUUUUCCUUAAUUUGUAAGAGCUGUUUAUAUACUAAAGGUAGCACUAUCCUGUUAUUUGACCAUAUGCUGAUUUCUCCAUUUCUGUUUUUGUUGAUCUUGUUUUGUUAUUGCGAUACCGAUAUUAAAAUUUUUUGUGUAG